rnacentral:rRNA from 1 species
UACGUAGGGUGCAAGCGUUGUCCGGAAUUAUUGGGCGUAAAGAGCUCGUAGGCGGUUUGUCGCGUCGGGAGUGAAAACCUUGGGCUUAACUCAGGGCUUGCUUUCGAUACGGGCAGACUAGAGGUAUGCAGGGGAGAACGGAAUUCCUGGUGUAGCGGUGAAAUGCGCAGAUAUCAGGGGGAACACCGGUGGCGAAGGCGGUUCUCUGGGCAUGAUCUGACGCUGAGGAGCGAAAGUGUGGGGAGCGAACAGG